CUAAGUUUAAUUUUGGACCCUUUGGACUUUAGUGUAGACCAAUUUGAAAACAGGACCAAAAAUGAAGAAUCUACAUACACAGUAAGAUUUGGUAUAUCAAAGAACCCCAUUUAUUCAAUUUUUGAUGAAAUCAAACAAAGUUUAAUUUUGGACCCCGAUUGGACCAACUUGAAAACUGGGCCAAUAAUCAAGAAUCUAAGUACAUUUUUAGAUUCAGCAUAUCAAAGAACCUAACUGAUUCAUUUUUUGUCAAAAUC
rnacentral:lncRNA from 1 species